GGAUUAUACAAGUGCAAAUAAGUGAUGAUGAGUUGUAGUGGUAUUCUCCUAAGGGAGUAGAGAAAUUUCAAGAUUAAAAUCUGUCAUUAGGAUUUUUUCCCCGUUUUCCAUUUGUAACACUUGCCAUGAGGUGACAUGAUUCAAUAACAACUAACUCAGUUACCCCAGUGAAUUCCACACAUGAAGUAUUAGAUGUACUG